rnacentral:rRNA from 1 species
AGGCCCUUUCGGGGGUGCUCGAGUGGCGAACGGGUGAGUAACACGUGGGUGAUCUGCCCUGCACUUUGGGAUAAGCCUGGGAAACUGGGUCUAAUACCGGAUAGGACUACGAAUCGCAUGGUUUGUGGUGGAAAGCUUUUGCGGUGUGGGAUGGGCCCGCGGCCUAUCAGCUUGUUGGUGGGGUGAUGGCCUACCAAGGCGACGACGGGUAGCCGGCCUGAGAGGGUGUCCGGCCACACUGGGACUGAGAUACGGCCCAGACUCCUACGGGAGGCAGCAGUGGGGAAUAUUGCACAAUGGGCGCAAGCCUGAUGCAGCGACGCCGCGUGAGGGAUGACGGCCUUCGGG